GGGUGUCUAAGGUUUUGGAUCAAUUGAAUUAGGAUGUAAGUCCUUAAUUAAUAUUACUUGAUAGUUAUUAUGGGACGCCACCUUGAUUGGAUCAAGUUGGGCAUGUCCCAUGAUUAGAGGGCCUUUUAAUUUUCUAUGGGGCAUCCCUUGGGUGCAAAAGAGGAUGUGAAAUAAUGGUUGUAAGGGCUCUAAGAGUUAGUACCUAAUAGGAUUCCUAAUGUAAGUUAAAUAACUUAAGUUAUUAGAAAAUCCAAUGCAAGUAGGAUUUGUAUUAUGAGAUUGAGUAGGAUUCAAUCCUUAUGCCUAUCUAAAGGGACCUCUCCUAAGGUCCCUAGAGCAUCCAACCAGCAGCCCACACCCACCUUUGGAGAUCCCCCACGCCCUCUCUUCUCCUUCCCUUCUCCUUCUCCCUUGAACGUCCCAACACCCCUCCCUUUUGGGGCAUCCCAAUUCCUUCCAUGCCCAAGCUAUUGGGCGUCCCUUCUUUGCUAGUUCUUGGUAUUGGUAGUAGCAUAAUCUAAGGAGAAAAAUGCAAGAGAAGAAAAGAAGAAAAAGAUUAAGGAAAAAAAUCAAGAGUUGAUCAUGAUCCAGGCUUCGUUUAGAUUCAGCAGGCUGAAUUUUCGUAGAGAAAAAAAUUUAACUUGAAGAGGAUUAUUCUAGGCUGAUCCCGAGUAGAUACCUGCAGAAACUAGAUACUUGUGCAAGUAAAAAAAAAUCUCUUUUCUUUCAGAUUCAAAUUUGAAGAAAGGGAUUGCGAAAUAGAUAUAGGAUUUGAUCACAAUCUGAAUUUCA
rnacentral:lncRNA from 1 species